UAACACCAACGGCUACAA
rnacentral:misc_RNA from 1 species